GUUUGAUUUGUUUUUUAAAACAAAAAAAAAAAGUUCAUUAAAACCUCAUUUUUGUUACUGCUUAAAAACAAGGGAUUUUUCCUUUUUAAACCCCCGUUUCUUGCUCUUCUUCGACAGGUCAAAGAGAAGCAGUUUGACAGCCAUUUUUGAGCCAAAUUUCAACUACAUAAAAGGAUUCUCUGACGCCGCGACUAUGGGUUCAAGAGGCCAGUUGGAUUGAGUCCGUGCAUGGAGGCUACGUGGGAGACUACUGCGACACCUAGGGUUUUCGAAGGUUUCCUUCAGUUUUGGGUCGUUCGGGCCUGUAAGAGUUAGGAAUUGUUUUUUUUUUUAAAUGGGUUAGGGUUUGGCUUUAUGUAAUUGGGUUAGGACUUCUGUUUGGGUCUAAUGUAAUGGGCUAAGGGGUUAAGUUUAUUGGGUCCGUUGGGCCAUUGUAUUAUGGACAUUUGGACUUUACAUAAUAAUUUAUAUUUUGGUUUA